GCGACGCGGCGCCGCGAGCCUACCAAGGGGCGGUCGCGCGCCUCGGGUCAAAACGCGCCUGCGCACGUCACGCACCGCCCGCCGUUGCUACGCGACGGGCCGGCCGGCAACGCCCCGCCCGGGGGCCGCCGGGAGUUCCAACUGCGGGGGUGUUGUUCACCUGCCCGGGGCUGAAGGGCGGGUCCCUUUCGUCAGCUCCAGUCUUUAGGGGCGCCGGCGGGACUUCCCUCCUCUGCAGGGCAGGAAGGCGGAGCUAGAGUUGACACCUGCAGACCAGGGAUGAGCGAAGCAAUAAGGAAGUUGGGGCGAUUUUAAGCCUUUACCACUGGCUGCAGGUGUUUGACAUGCUCCAGCAGGGACGUGGGAAUUACCUGGAGAACUGUUCCAAGUUAGGUACUGAAUCUUCGGGGGAAAGUAACUCCCAACCUGCUAGAGGCCAGGUGUGCUGAGUUCCUGUCUCCCAAAAUUUAAGAAUGCGUUUCGAGGACAGAGGUGAAGAGUAAGAAAGGUUUACUGAGAUAAAGCUCCUGAGAGACAGAAGGGGUCCCGGAAGUGGGUGGCCCCGGAAAAGGGUGGCCCCUGAAAUGGGUGGCCCCAGAGGUGCUCUCUCCAAGAAUGUUCUGUAGAGCAAAAUCACAAGGUGGGUACACCAAUGGUCAAACUACAAUCAAGCAGUAGGAUCACAAGUGCAGAGCAUAGCUAAUAUUGAUCCAACAGGGAGACGAGGCCCAUAGCAAGAGUGUAUGGUGAGCAUCAUUAACUUUAGUUUAUCCGUAACUUCUAACAUAGGAAGAACAAAGGCAUUUUUUUGGAAAGGGGCAGGAAGGGAUGGGAGGAUGCAUCUAGAUAUUCUGGUCACUCAUCUAGACAUCUAAUGCCCAUCUAGACUGACUGGACUGGGUACUACUAAUUACAACAUAAUCUCAAGUUGUUAUUUAUCCCUUUAGCGAUACUGGAAGGCCAGGUCAUUUCAUUUCAAUCUUGAGGCCUGGUCUCCUUUGGAUGCUGCUCCAACCACAGUUGUGAUGAAUUUUCAUCUUCCACAUCGACUCUCCCAAAGGCUCAUCCCUGUCUGCCUAUUAAUUUCUACCUAGCUUAGCUGUCUAUAGUAUCUUGAUCUUGGACUUCCCAGCCUCCAGAACAGUAGAAAUAAAUUUCUGUUUCCUCUACAGCCCCCCAGUCUGUGUGUGACAUUGCAUUAUAGCAGCCCAAGCAGGUUACAACAUACGAAGUCCCUCCUUGAAUACAGCAUGGGUGUGCUCCAUUUCCUAUUUAGAAGACAUUUUGCAAAUAUAGUACUUGAUCUGUGAACAUAUGGGCACUUCAUUUCCAUUAAUAGGAAUGGCAGGGAAGAAUAAAUUCACUCUGAGGAGUCUGCAGAAACAUGGGUGUUAAUAGUCUGGAAAAAGCUCCUUUGCCAAGGAUAAACCCUAUCAGAAGAUAACAUACAAAGAACCUAUUUUUGAAUCUUUCCCCUGUCUUCUCACUAGUUCCUCUGUAUCUCCUACCCUUAUUUAUGUCUGUAGUCUUUAAAAAAUAAGUUUAAUGAUAUGACAUACCAGUACAGUAAAGGGAGGCCCCUGGAACACCAGCUCUCCUUUCCCAUAAUCUCAGGGCCCUCCUCAAGGCAAAAACUGGUGCCGAUUCCACAUCUGGCCGGGCAGAGAAAUACGCCUUGUGCAUGUAUUUUGAUUUUUUGGUGUUUUGUGUGAGGUUUUAGGCUGGGCAGAGAGUGUACUAUAGCCAUUAAUGAUUGCCUUAGUGACCUGCCCUUAUCAAUAAAUCACUGUUUAUA